rnacentral:lncRNA from 1 species
AUACAUAGUAUAAGCUUCUUUGAUGUAUAUCCAAUAACGACUCAAUACACAUCUUUAAGUAAAUCAAUAUAUAGUUUUCAAAAUAUAAUAUUCAUUAGCAUACAACUUAUGGUUAAGUGAUAUACAUUUAACAAAUUAGUUGUUUAGCAACCUACUAUAUAUCUCAAAGAGGAGAAAAACAUCAUAAAUAGAUAAAGAGAGGCUUGAUGAGAA